UACGGGAGGCAGCAGUGGGGAAUAUUGCACAAUGGGCGAAAGCCUGAUGCAGCUAUGCCGCGUGUAUGAAGAAGGCCUUAGGGUUGUAAAGUACUUUCAUCGGGGAGGAAAAAACAAAACUAAUAAUUUUAUUUCUUGACGUUACCCGAAAAAGAAGCACCGGCUAACUCCGUGCCAGCAGCCGCGGUAAUACGGAGGGUGCUAGCGUUAAUCAGAAUUACUGGGCGUAAAGAGCACGUAGGUGGUUUUUUUAAGUCAGAUGUGAAAUCCCUGGGCUUAACCUAGGAACUGCAUUUUGAAACUGAAAUACUAGAGUAUCGUAGAGGGAGGUAGAAUUCUAGGUGUAGCGGUGAAAUGCGUAGAUAUCUGGAGGAAUACCUGUGGCGAAAGCGGCCUCCUAAACGAAUACUGACACUGAGGUGCGAAAGCUGGGGAGCGAAACAGGGAUUAGAUACC
rnacentral:rRNA from 1 species